rnacentral:rRNA from 1 species
UCCUGGCUCAGGAUGAACGCUGGCGGCGUGCCUAAUACAUGCAAGUCGAACGCACAGCGAAAGGUGCUUGCACCUUUCAAGUGAGUGGCGAACGGGUGUGUAACACGUGGACAACCNGCCUCAAGGCUGGGGAUAACAUUUGGAAACAGAUGCUAAUACCGAAUAAAACUCAGUGUCGCAUGACACAAAGUUAAAAGGCGCUUUGGCGUCACCUAGAGAUGGAUCCGCGGUGCAUUAGUUAGUUGGUGGGGUAAAGGCCUACCAAGACAAUGAUGCAUAGCCGAGUUGAGAGACUGAUCGGCCACAUUGGGACUGAGACACGGCCCAAACUCCUACGGGAGGCUGCAGUAGGGAAUCUUCCACAAUGGGCGAAAGCCUGAUGGAGCAACGCCGCGUGUGUGAUGAAGGCUUUCAGGUCGUAAAGCACUGUUGUAUGGGAAGAACAGCUAGAAUAGGGAAUGAUUUUAGUUUGACGGUACCAUACCAGAAAGGGACGGCUAAAUACGUGCCAGCAGCCGCGGUAAUACGUAUGUCCCGAGCGUUAUCCGGAUUUAUUGGGCGUAAAGCUAGCGCAAACUGUUGAUUAAGUCUGAUGUGAAAGCCCGGAGCUCAACUCCGGAAUGGCAUUGGAAACUGGUUAACUUGAGUGCAGUACAAGUAAGUGGAACUCCAUGUGUAGCGGUGGAA